UGGGGAAUAUUGCACAACGGGCGGAAGCCUGAUGCAGCAACGCCGCGUGCGGGAUGACGGCCUUCGGGUUGUAAACCGCUUUCAGCAGGGACGAAGCGUGAGUGACGGUACCUGCAGAAGAAGCACCGGCUAACUACGUGCCAGCAGCCGCGGUGGUACGUAGGGUGCGAGCGUUGUCCGGAUUUAUUGGGCGUAAAGAGCUUGUAGGCGGUUGGUUGCGUCGAAAGUGCAAACUCAGGGCUUAACUCUGAGCCUGCUUUCGAUACGGGCUGGCUGGAGGGAGGUAGGGGAGGAAGGAAUUUCCGGUGGGGGGGUAGAAUGCGGAGAUUACGGGAGGAAAACCCAGGGCGAAGGCGGUUCCUUGGAACUUUCCUGACGCUGAGAAGCGAAAGCGUGGGGAGCAAACAG
rnacentral:rRNA from 1 species